GAUGGUUUGAAUAAUCAAUCAAAAAUAGUUUCACUGUCAACACGUGUAAUUGUUUUAUUCUCAACGAGAAACGUGACAAGAUUUGCCUAUAGAUAAUCGAGUUGCUGUUCCACCAAAAUUGCACACAGUGGCGCUCAUCAAUUACAGUGGGAUUGAAGCUGCCCAUUGAGGAAACUAUUGGACUUAGACCUCAUCUAGUCACCAUCAUCUGCAGAAAGGACUUAGUUGGACAGAAGGAGCCUGUUGGUUCGCCAUUGGACCCUAAGAUCAAAGGUAAGUAUAUUGCCUUUUGUCUUAUGGUUUGUUGUAAGGGAGAUUAUAUUAAAAUUUCUAGAUAACAUGAAAUAACAGAAUUGCCGUUGUGUUGAUAUUUGUCUGUUUUGUGCUGGCAUGUCAAUCUUGUCGAGUGUGUCUCAUUUUUGUAGCAUUACUUUUUGUCUACAAUCUAUCUAGCUAUACAAUCUAUCAAAUACAAUUUCUUUCAAAACCAA